CCCCCCAGAUUGAUGCGGAGAAUGUGGAUAAUGUAGAGAACGGUCGUCCAGCACGCACCUCUCCCUACAAUAAGUCAGCACAGAUGUACAUUGCCUCAGUCCUCCAGGACCCCAGUUUAGACGAGCUGGGUUCGGCUGGCAGCGGGGUCAGCGAGGGUUCGCAGGACGAGGAGAUCAUCCAAGUGGGGAACUGCCUCAAUGAGGCCGACUUCCAGAGCGGCGAGGACAGUCUCCUCGCUAACGAGGUGCGGCACUGACGGCAGGAGACGCCGGAGACGGUUGUCAGGGUGGAGACGGUUGUCAGGGUGGAGACGGUUGUCAGGGUGGAGACGGUUGUCAGGGUGGAGACGGAGGACGGGGAGAGAGGAGCAGAGACUGAGAUGGCAGAAACUAAAGUUUAAUUUCACCGACUGGAUGGAUGCACUGACCUAGUGAAUUAAGCUACAGUGCUGAAACGGACUGACACAGCUUUAAAAGACAUGGAUAGACCACUAACCUUAAAGUCCUGAACAGACGAUUACAUUGUCUACACACACACACACACACACACACACACACACACACACACACACACACACACACACACACACACACACACACACACACACACACACACACACACACACACA